UACACCGCUGACGGUUGAAAUACCGUUCAUCCGCCAUUAUUGGUUAGGGGAGUGGAAAUAAAUCCGAUACAGGGCAGGCGAUAAAGCGGUCGCACCUAUCGCCCUGCAGGAGAUAGAA
rnacentral:sRNA from 1 species